rnacentral:misc_RNA from 1 species
AACGCACCUUGCGCUCUUUGGUAUUCCGAGGAGCAUGCCUGUUUGAGUAUCAUGAAUAUCUCUCAACUCUCCCUUUUCGAAGGGUAGAGUUGGAUUGCUGGAGGAUUUGCAGGCUUUUCUCUGUCUGCUUCUCUUGAAUGUAUUAGCGGAGACCAUGUUCUUUUGGUUGCUGGUGUGAUAAGUCAUUGUUUUGCCAGGUCUAUAACCAAUAGUCAAUGAGCUCUGCUUCUAAAAUCCUUUAGACAAAUGUCUAACAUUUUGAACUUUGAUCUCAAAUCAGGUAGGACUACCCGCUGAACUUAA